rnacentral:rRNA from 1 species
AACGAACGCUGGCGGCAGGCCUAACACAUGCAAGUCGAGCGCGCCCUUCGGGGUGAGCGGCGGACGGGUGAGUAACGCGUGGGAACGUGCCCUUUUCUACGGAAUAGCCUCGGGAAACUGAGAGUAAUACCGUAUACGCCCUUUGGGGGAAAGAUUUAUCGGAAAAGGAUCGGCCCGCGUUCGAUUAGGUAGUUGGUGGGGUAAUGGCCUACCAAGCCGACGAUCCAUAGCUGGUUUGAGAGGAUGAUCAGCCACACUGGGACUGAGACACGGCCCAGACUCCUACGGGAGGCAGCAGUGGGGAAUCUUAGACAAUGGGGGCAACCCUGAUCUAGCCAUGCCGCGUGAGUGAUGAAGGCCUUAGGGUUGUAAAGCUCUUUCAGCUGGGAAGAUAAUGACGGUACCAGCAGAAGAAGCCCCGGCUAACUCCGUG